GCGCGCCACACCAUGGCUGAUGGCUUGGCUCGUCCUCGCGGCUGACGCCCAGGUCCGAGGGCCCUCGGAUCUGCGCUGGCGCGGCUGACGGCGGCUGGGUCGGAGGUGUUUCAGGGCCAGGUGAACGCCUCCGCCGCCCAAGACCCCGCCUUCUUCACACUUCGCGCGCCGGGAGCGGCACUUCUUCCUCCGCCGUCUUCCACCCGGGGAGGAGGGAGCCAAGUGUGCUUCUUCACGGCCAACGACGCCGCUCCUCCGCGCGAGGACAGGAUAGGGCUGGGUGCGCCUCGGUUGGGGCAACUCCCAUCUUGACGAGGCCAUGGAGAUGGAGCUUCUUCAAGGUGUGAGGACGUUCACCAUCGACCUUUGCGCCCAAGAAUGUGAUGGUCUCCGCUCUGCGUGCUUGCCAGGGUCUCCAAGCCCAACAACGCCCAGAUCUGGUCAGCGACGUUCGCUUAAGGCAGGGACACCUUUAGUGCUUGCCUGUUCCUAUAUCAGCAGUGCUCCGAGCUUCGUUAGGUUUUGCUCAUGUGAUCAUCAAUCACAAUUCAG
rnacentral:rRNA from 1 species